rnacentral:lncRNA from 13 species
CGCGGGGUCAGUCGGAGCGCGGCGCCGAGCGGAGCGGAGCGGGGGCACAGCCGGGGCACAGCCGGGCACCAGCGCCAGCAGCGACCGCAGCCGCACCGGAGCGAGCCCAGGAUGAUAAACACCCAGGACAGAGUCCCCAGAGUGUCAUUUCCUGCGCCUCUGUCGCCGAUAAGAGCCCAGAGGAUGCGUAUGAAGCAGCCUUGGUUCUUGGCCGCUGUCUGUGUGGGAGAUGCUUGAGCUGUGCUGUGUUCAUCAGAUGGUUGUUUACAAUUUGCUCCUCAAAUCGGGCUCCUGGAUAUGUGUCUAGCAUUAUUAUUAUUAUUAUUAUUAUUGUUAUGCAGCUGCAUCUCCAGUGCCUGUUUUGGGAAGGGGCAGAAAGGAAAACAAAACAGUCAUUUCUCCAACGUCAGGGGAGCCCUGUCGAUUCUUCCAUCUGGUCUAAGUGUUCAAAACAAAUAAAAUCCCCAAAACACAAGGAAAUGUGCCGAUUUUGACCCCCGAUGUGCUGGUGGUAAUCCCAGCCUGGCUCCGGGUGCCGGGGCUGCCUAGGAACAGCUGUGAUGGGGUUUUGAAGUUGCCGAGCUGCCCUUUGCACUUCCCAGGGACAGGGCACGGGGUUGGGAUCGCUGGGAGUUUAGGGAGUUAAAAUUACACCCGCGGGAUGAGAGCGUAACACCGGCCUCCAGCUCCACUUUCGGGCAGGGCUCAGCCGAGCAGCUUUUACUGAGGAGUCUCUCCAGGGAAAGGCCUUGGUGAUCUAAAUGCAUCUUAAUUUCAACCAAGCUGCAGGAAAGCAGCUUCUCCGAGGAGGAGAGACAUCAGAAGGGAGCACAAACCUAACUUGCAAGCAAUAAGCAGGCCGCAGGGAGAGUUGCCGUUUGCACAAGGAUGCAUGAAGGGAUCAGACGCUGCCGGGUGUUUGCAUGAAUUUCUUCCCAGGGAGCUGAAGCACAGCUGGAGAAAGCAAAAGCCCUUUUAAUCUGUGCCCCACACGCACUCUCUCCCCUGAGGGUGCUGCUCUCAGAGCCCUUAUCCUGGAGGGGAUAGUGGUGGCAUGCAGGGACCCUGAUUUUGGAGGGGGAGAGUGGAGGUGUGUGGAUUUGGGCCAGGACGUGCAGGCAGCAGCUGAAGGGGGCUGGUGUUUUGACUUCUGCAUGUGCCAGAGGAAGUGAAACUGGGA